GGCUAAUACCGCAUGAUGCCUACGGGCCAAAGAGGGGGACCUUCGGGCCUCUCGCGUCAGGAUAUGCCUAGGUGGGAUUAGCUAGUUGGUGAGGUAAGGGCUCACCAAGGCGACGAUCCCUAGCUGGUCUGAGAGGAUGAUCAGCCACACUGGAACUGAGACACGGUCCAGACUCCUACGGGAGGCAGCAGUGGGGAAUAUUGCACAAUGGGCGCAAGCCUGAUGCAGCCAUGCCGCGUGUAUGAAGAAGGCCUUCGGGUUGUAAAGUACUUUCAGUCGUGAGGAAGGCGGCGUCGUUAAUAGCGGCGUUGUUUGACGUUAGCGACAGAAGAAGCACCGGCUAACUCCGUGCCAGCAGCCGCGGUAAUACGGAGGGUGCGAGCGUUAAUCGGAAUUACUGGGCGUA
rnacentral:rRNA from 1 species